rnacentral:rRNA from 1 species
CACAAGCGGUGGAGCAUGUGGUUUAAUUCGAUGAUACGCGAGGAACCUUACCUGGGCUCAAAUGUAUGUUGACGUAUUUCUGAAAGGGAUACUUCUUCGGACAAUAUACAAGGUGCUGCAUGGUUGUCGUCAGCUCGUGCCGUGAGGUGUCGGGUUAAGUCCCAUAACGAGCGCAACCCCUAUCAUUAGUUGCCAUCAGGUCAAGCUGGGGACUCUAAUGAAACUGCCUACGCAAGUAGUGAGGAAGGUGGGGAUGACGUCAAAUCAGCACGGCCCUUACGUCCAGGGCUACACACGUGCUACAAUGGUCGGUACAAAGGGUUGCCAAGCCGCGAGGUGGAGCUAAUCCCAUAAAACCGAUCGUAGUCCGGAUCGCAGUCUGCAACUCGACUGCGUGAAGUCGGAAUCGCUAGUAAUCGUGAAUCAGAAUGUCACGGUGAAUACGUUCCCGGGCCUU